CAAUUCCUGGGUUAUGACCAUGACCCUAAAAAAAUCCAGAAAAAACAACCUCAUUACGAGACAUACCUUGCAAUAGAUGUUUGUUUAACUGGAAAUCCACAAGAGCAGCUGCCCAGUGCAAUGGUACAUAUUUGCUUCUGAAUCCUUUCUCAAAGGCACUAUUUAAACAUGUUGAUGAACUGAACUGCAUUUCUCCCCACCUCCAUUUGAGCAAAACAAGGAGACUCAGAAGAUAAAAUAUGCUUUGUUUUUGCAAGUAGCAUAAUGUGGUACAGCAUUAAAUACGAGAUGUGAACUCACCAUGGCAACCCCUGCAUCACAUUGCAGAUAUGCUGCUUCUAAGCUACGGCAGAUGUUUCUGAAGAAAUACACAUGAAUAUUAGGGAGACACUGAUGGAAAUACAACGCUUUGGAGUUAAGCACGAAGACGCAACUCCACAGUGCUACCUAACGCCCCUGAAGGAUGCCUAACGUCCUUCAGGAAUGAGACAUCGUGGUGGGAUUCGGGUGCUUGGGCACGCUUGGAGACACGGGCCUGCAGCUCCCCUUCGAAGACUUGCAGAUAGCCCCACCUCUACUUUUGGGGAGCUGCUGAUUUGUAGCAAUAUCAGCUGCCUAAUCCUGAUGCCUGGCAAGGUUUGAACAUUAACUGCAUACAGCCAAGAAAGAAUAUGAAUAUACAGACAGGAAAACUACUGCUUAAUUACUAUGCAAGCUGCUUAGCGCCCAGAGUCAUUGCAUUUUUCAAAGGGACUCUUAAAAUACUGCAUCAGUACAAGUGACUGAAUACAUCCAGGAUGGAAGAGGGCUUGGUAUGUAUCAUUUGGCAAUAGUGUAUAAUGGGUAUAAUAUUUGUAACAGCUGUUAGGUGCUCUGAAGCUACGCUACAUUUAUGGAAUUUUCCAUUGAGCUCUAAAUAUUCAGGUCACAUACACAGUUAAAUUUCCAGCAGUGGCAGUACAGAUAAAAGCACUCCAACCGUAUGCCAUAAUUGUGCUCUAUUUAGAGAGUGCAGCAACUCAGGCAUUUUCACAGCAGUCAUCUUAGAUACGGUAUACAUUCUGCUUUAUAAAUGCCAAUUCAUUAGCACAUGUAACACGUAGCAUGCUGCUUUUAAAAAAAAAGAGAGAGAAUGCUGUGUUUCACUGAGGAGUAAACAUACUGAAAUAACCUAUUACUGAGAAGAAGGAAAAGAAAAAUGCAGAUAAAAAUGCCAAAUUCAGUUUCAUCCUUUAUGCAAUGGUCUUCUGUGGAAGAUCAAAGUCCAUUUUGUAAGAGAUUUCAAAUAAAUGGCUUUAAUUAGAGUAUCCA
rnacentral:lncRNA from 1 species